rnacentral:tRNA from 1 species
GCCGCUGUAGCUCAAUUGGUAGAGCAACUGACUUGUAAGCAGUAGGUUGGGGGUUCAAGUCCUCUCGGCGGCACCA